CCAGACUCCUACGGGAGGCAGCAGUGGGGAAUAUUGGGCAAUGGACGCAAGUCUGACCCAGCAACGCCGCGUGAAGGAAGAAGGCUUUCGGGUUGUAAACUUCUUUUAAGGGGGAAGAGCAGAAGACGGUACCCCUUGAAUAAGCCACGGCUAACUACGUGCCAGCAGCCGCGGUAAUACGUAGGUGGCAAGCGUUGUCCGGAUUUACUGGGUGUAAAGGGCGUGCAGCCGGGCCGACAAGUCAGAUGUGAAAUCCGCGGGCUUAACCCGCGAACUGCAUUUGAAACUAUUGGUCUUGAGUACCGGAGAGGUCAUCGGAAUUCCUUGUGUAGCGGUGAAAUGCGUAGAUAUAAGGAAGAACACCAGUGGCGAAGGCGGAUGACUGGACGGCAACUGACGGUGAGGCGCGAAAGCGUGGGGAGCAAACAGGAUUAGAUACCCCAGUA
rnacentral:rRNA from 1 species